ACCCUGAAGAGAGGAGUCUGAGAGUGGUCAAAAGACAGGAGGUGAUGGGAAGAAACAAGGCUGCAGUGAACAAAUCCGGGAUUUAUUAGUAAGCACGUGUAAUCUUUGGCAAAAGGGAACCUGAAAAUGCAUUUCCCUGGGGACCUGGCGCCAGUCGAUGCCUUUCAGCCUGCGGCUGACCUUGGAGACGCAGAAAAGCAGGAUUCCAGGACACAUUUACGACCGUCAUAAUUGUGAGUUAGAGAUCUCCCAGGCCAAGUGAAAUGAAAUUACGAGAAACUGAAAUCUGUUUUAAUUGGAGCAUUUAUGGAAAAAAGAAGUCAGGGUGGCUGCUUUUUUCCUUUAUGUGACUCCAGUUCAUAGCCGUACCUGUGUGUCCAGGGCUGGGGAAACUCGGGCCAAGACAGUGGGGAGGAAAGGAGAGAGAAUGAGGUAGGUGUGUCAGGAAGGAGUCAUUUUCUUAGCUGAAAAAAAAUGGAGGUACAGUCGCC
ensembl:lncRNA